AUUGAACGCUGGCGGCAUGCCUUACACAUGCAAGUCGAACGGUAACAGGUCUUCGGAUGCUGACGAGUGGCGAACGGGUGAGUAAUACAUCGGAACGUGCCUAGUAGUGGGGGAUAACUACUCGAAAGAGUGGCUAAUACCGCAUGAGAUCUACGGAUGAAAGCAGGGGAUCGCAAGACCUUGUGCUACUAGAGCGGCCGAUGGCAGAUUAGGUAGUGGGUGGGAUAAAAGCUUACCAAGCCGACGAUCUGUAGCGGGUCUGAGAGGACGAUCAGCCACGCUGGGACUGAGACACGGCCCAGACUCCUACGGGAGGCAGCAGUGGGGAAUUUUGGACAAUGGGCGCAAGCCUGAUCCAGCAAUGCCGCGUGCAGGAUGAAGGCCUUCGGGUUGUAAACUGCUUUUGUACGGAACGAAAAGCCCCGGGUUAAUACCCUGGGGUCAUGACGGUACCGUAAGAAUAAGCACCGGCUAACUACGUGCCAGCCGCCGCAGUAA
rnacentral:rRNA from 1 species